GUGUCCAGGCGGUGUGUGAUUUUAGACCAAAAGUCUGCAAACAAUUUGUCCAACCUGUCCAGGAUACAGGGCUGCUGGACUCGAGGUGUAGUUUCACAUGUGGUGGUCGCCAUCUUGUGGAGGGCAAAGUGGCUGUGACCUGUGGAGUGCUGCUUGAGGGCCGUCACCCAGGCACGUGUGAUGAGUACCGGGAUAUCCCUCACCGGUAGGGGGGGGGAGAGUGAG